CGCGUAGGCGGAAUGGUAAGUCAGAUGUGAAAGACCGGGGCUCAACCCCGGGACCGCAUUUGAAACUGCUAUUCUUGAGGAUAGGCGGAGAAAACGGAAUUCCACGUGUAGCGGUGAAAUGCGUAGAUAUGUGGAAGAACACCAGUGGCGAAGGCGGUUUUCUAGCUUAUACCUGACGCUAAUGCGCGAAAGCAAGGGGAUCAAACA
rnacentral:rRNA from 1 species